AUUGAACGCUGGCGGCAGGCCUAACACAUGCAAGUCGAACGAGUGGCGGACGGGUGAGUAAUGUCUGGGAAACUGCCCGAUGGUGGGGGAGAACUACUGGAAACGGUAGCUAAUACCGCAUACCACCGGAUGUGCCCAGAUGGGCUUAGCUAGUAGGUGGGGUAACGGCUCGGCUAGGCGACGAUCCCUAGCUGAGCUGAGAGGAAGAGCAGCGACCCUGGAACGGAGCUACGGUCCAGACUCCAACGGGAGGCAGCAGUGGGGAUAAUUGCACAAUGGGCGCGAGCCUGAUCCGGACAUGCCGCGUGUAGUGAGAAGGCAAGCGGGUAGUAAAGGACUUUCAGCGAGAAAGCGGUACUCGCAGAAGAAGCACCGGCUAACUCCGUGCCAGCAGCCGCGGUAAUUC
rnacentral:rRNA from 1 species